rnacentral:tRNA from 1 species
AAAAAUUAGUUAAAUAUUAUAUAACAUUAACUUGUCAAGUUAAAAUAAUUAAAUUGUUAAUAUUUUUUA